rnacentral:lncRNA from 1 species
GGCACCAGCCUCCAAAUGGCUAUGGACCGGGAGCAGAACCAGGUUUUAAUGGUGGCCUCGAGCCACAGAAAAUUGGUGAGUCCUCCUGGGCCCCCGACCCAUGUUGAGCGGAAGCUGGCAUCUCCCUCAUGCCUGAGUCAGUCUGUCUGUCCGCAUCCCCCUGUCUAUGAGCUGGUCACCUGGCCCUCCUGAUGCUGUCCCUGUUCCACUAGCCUGUCCCUAGCUCCUCUCCAAUCUCUGUCCUGCAGGUUUAGGUUAUGGGAAUGGUGUCCUGGGAGCCAGGGUCUUCCCCGAGGCCCACCCACAGCCAGGUGCCUGGGGAGCAGGGGUCGGGGUGGGAGAGUUG